CCUACGGGAGGCAGCAGUGAGGAAUAUUGGUCAAUGGACGAGAGUCUGAACCAGCCAAGUAGCGUGAAGGAUGACUGCCCUAUGGGUUGUAAACUUCUUUUAUACGGGAAUAAAGUGAGGCACGUGUGCCUUUUUGUAUGUACCGUAUGAAUAAGGAUCGGCUAACUCCGUGCCAGCAGCCGCGGUAAUACGGAGGAUCCGAGCGUUAUCCGGAUUUAUUGGGUUUAAAGGGAGCGUAGGCGGAUUGUUAAGUCAGUUGUGAAAGUUUGUGGCUCAACCGUAAAAUUGCAGUUGAAACUGGCAGUCUUGAGUACAGUAGAGGUGGGUGGAAUUCGUGGUGUAGCGGUGAAAUGCUUAGAUAUCACGAAGAACUCCGAUUGCGAAGGCAGCCUGCUAAGCUGCAACUGACAUUGAGGCUCGAAAG
rnacentral:rRNA from 1 species